GGAAGCAACCUAAGUGUCCCUCAACAGAUGAAUGGAUAAAGAAAAUGUAGUACAUUUACAUGAUAGAGUACUAUUCAGCCAUAAAAAAGAAUGAAAUCCCGUUAUCUGCAACAACAUGGAUGGAAUUGGGACUCAUUGUAUUAAGUGAAAUAAGCCAGGCACAGAAAGACAAACUCAUGUUCUCGCUUAUUUGUGGGAGCUAAAAAUUAAAAUGAUUGGCCAGGUGUGGUGGCUCACGCCUGUAAUCUCAGCACUUUGGGAGGCUGAGGCAGGUGGAUCACAAGGUCAGGAGAUCGAGACCAUCCUGGUUAACACGGUGAAACCCCGUCUGUACUAAAAAUGCAAAAAAUUAGCUGGGCGUGGUGGCAGGCACCUGUAGUCCCAGCUACUCCGGAGGCUGAGGCAGGAGAAUGGUGUGAACCCAGGAGGCGGAGGUUGCAGUGAGCCGAGAUUGUGCCACUGCACUCCAGCCUGGGCAACAGAGCGAGAGUCUGUCCCCAAAAAAAAAAAAAAAAAAAUUAAAACGAUUGUUGAACUCAUGGAGAUAGAGAGUACAAGGAUGAUUACCAGAGGUUGGGAAGGGGGCUUGUAGGGAAGUGGGAAGAGUUAAUGGGUACAAAAAAAGUUAGAAAAAAUUAGUAAGACCUAGUAUUUGAUAACAGGGUGACUGUAGUCAAUAAUAAUUUAAUUGUACAUUUUUAAAUAACUAAAAGCAUAAUUGGAUUGUAACAUAAAGGAUAAAUGCUUCAGGGGAAAGCUAUCCCAUUUUACAUGAUGUAAUUAUUAUGGAUUGCAUGCCUAUAUCAAAGUAUCUAAUGUAUCCCAUAAAUAUAGACACCUACAUACCCACAAAAAUUAAAACUUGAAACUUAAAAAAAAGAAUGAGUGAAUUAGAUGAAUAUAAGUAGGAUAAUAGUUUAUAAGCAAAGUUUUUCAAUAACAAUUAUGUUUUAGAAAAUAUGUCUAGUUAAAAAUAGUUUUAAAAUCUUUUUGGUAACUUGAAACCUUAAAAUGAAAUUAAGUAAUAGAUACUUAUUAAAUAUCUGGGUCACUUCUAAGUAAGUUAAAAAUAUUGAAACACUAAUUACUAGGCACAAGUUUAUGUACUUUGGCAUCUUGUUUUUAUAUAGUACAGAGAAGCUAAAUAGAUUGAAGUUGGUUAAAAACAUGAAAAAUUGCUUCUAGAAAUUAUGAAAUGAUGAAUGCUGUUAUAAAAGAGUUUAUAAUGCUUGCUAGUUUUCACUAGAAAUUAAGGUUACUGGCCAGGCAUGGUGGCUCACGCCUGUAAUCCCAGCACUUGGGGAGGCCAAGGCCGGCUGAUCACGAGGUCAGGAGUUUGAGACCAGCCUAGCCAACAUACUAAAACCCCGUCUCUACUAAAAAUACAAAAAUUAACCGGGCAUGGUGGCGCGUGCCUGUAGUCCUAGCUACUUGGGAGGCUGAGGCAGGAGAAUCACUUGAACCUGGGAGGCGGAGGUUGCAGCGAGCUGAGAUCACGCCACUGCACACCAGCCCAGGCGACAGUGCAAGACUCAGUCUCAAAAAAAAAAAAAAAAAAAAGAAAAAAAGAAAUAAGGUUACUAAGAGUUAAACGUUAUAAUUAACAUAUGUAAUUAAACUGCCAGAAAAUAUGAGGGAAAACUUUCUUUGCUUAGAAAUAAGAUGCAUUUGAUAAGGAAAGUUAUGUAAAUGACACAUUUUUGUUUUUUAAAAAGGCUGAAUUUUUUUUAAGUUUUAAAUGAUUUAUGGAAAUGUUAUCUUUUGUGAUCAAAACUAAGAUUGGAUGAAUUUAUUAAAAGAUUUUAUUUAAAAUUAGCUUUAGUAUUAAUAGUACGCUAAUGCAAAAGUGGAAUUUGGUCUUCUCUGUUAAAGUAACAAAGUUUUCUAGAAGUAUUGGUCUGAGAAUGUGAAGGUUUUUUUUUUCUCCUUUUCAGUAACUGACCUAGAAAACAAAGAUUUUGUGUUUUAUCAAGAUCAUUUUUGGGCUUCAUGCUGUAUUUUAUUAGGUCUUUGAUUACAUUUUAUUCACAACUAUGCAACCUUUUGUAUUUGCCUUUAAAAUCUUUUGUUGUCGGCCAGGUGCAGUGGCUCACCUGUAAUCCCAGUGCUUUGGGAGGACAAGGCAGGAGGACUGCUUUAGCCCAGGAGUUCAAGACCAGCCUGGGAAAUACUGCAAAACUCCAUCUCUACAAAAAUAAAAAUAAAAAUAAAUGAGCCAGGUGCAGUGGCGCAUGCCUGCAGUCCCAGCUACUCAGAAGGCCAAGGUGAGAGGAUUGCUUUAAGCCAGGAGUUUGAGGCUGCAGUGAGCUAUGCUUGUGCCACUACACUCCAGCCUGGGUGACAGAGUGAGACCCUGUCUCUAAAAAAAUGUUAAAAAAAAUAGAAAAUUGUUUUUCUAUUUAAAACUGUCACUUUAAUUAGAUAGCCAAUAUCAUAUUUAAUUUUUUUAAACCUUUUGACAUUUUGACAUACUUCCCAAAAUCAAAUUCUAAAUUAAGUCUUUUUGACCUUGAACUUACUUUGAGAUUUACCAGUUAGGCCUCUUGAAAGCUACAAAAUAUGUGUUUUUCUCACCUUGUAAAAGAAAGAUAUUAAAAUAAUUGGGCUUACAUAUAUUUGAUGCAUUAAAUUAUAUAGUAAGUGUGGUCAAAUAAUGAGUAAUGCUAAACCUAGAGUUAUACUUAGGAGCGUAUUAUUGAUAUGAAAAUGUGAGAUUUUUAAAAGUCUAAUGUUAUCAGUAACAAUUCUGGCAAUUAUGUUAAAAUGUUGUAUCCACAGAAAUAACUAAAUUUCCUUGUCAACUGCUGACUAUAAUGAACUCUCAUCAGAUUUUUAACCAUGGCCAUAUUAAGUCUUUGUCAUCUACAGGCCAUUACUGUUUUGAUUUUUGUCUAAAAGUAUUGGCAAUCAGCGAUAGUCCAAAACUGCUUUUCUUCGAAAAGAUUCAUAGAAAAGACUUUGACAAAUACCCUUGAAUACAGGUUUCUAAUAACCAUAAGAUCAUACCAUUGGACUGUGUGAGAAUUUUCAGAACUCUAAUGAAGAAAUGAAUGGCUUCAUGAAACUGCCAAGCAAGAUCAAGCAGAUCAAGAAUUAAUUACGUGAAACUGAACUGAUGAAGAUUUAAAGAAACUAUUUCUCUUAAGCUUUCUAGAGCUUGCAGAGAUCUGGUAGCAUAUACUUUUGUGAACAGAAUUGGAACAAUUACUUUUUCUUCCUACCUGAUCCUGCUAGGACUCAGAAACUAUUUACAACUUUAAAGAACUAAGGUUGACUUUAUGGAGCCAAUAAAGCCCGCGCUUGGAUAAACUGGCCUGGUACUUUGAAAGCAUCGUUCAUAUGGUUGCCUUAGAGGUAGGUAAAGAAUGUCACCUCCUGGCAGGACCAGGAACCUCAGGAUAUUUUGGGGACCUAAAGCAGAGAGGAAUUCAGCAAAAUCUAGAAGUACUUCAGGUGAAUUUUUUUUUUCUUUUUUUUUUUUGAGACGAAGUCUCGCUCUUCUCCCCCAGGCUGGAGUGCAAUGGCACAGUCUCGGCUCACUGCAAGCUCCGCCUCCCAGGUUCAAGCAAUUCUCCUGCCUCAGCCUCCCGAGUAGCUGGGAUUACAGGCGCCCGCCACCACGCCCAGCUAAUUUUUGUAUUUUUAGUAGAGACGGGGUUUCACCAUGUUGGCCAGGCUGGUCUCAAACUCCUGACCUUGUGAUCCGCCCGCCUCAGCCUCCCAAAGUGCUGAGAUUACAGGCAUGAGCCACCAUGCCCAGCCACUUCAGGUGAAUUUUAAUGGUGAAUCUUAAGCUUGGCCUCCUGGCCUCAAGAGGCUUUUCAAUGUCUAAUCUGAGAUUCCUUAUAAAACGUUCCAGCAAAGCAAAUUUAAAGACAGCCUAUGUGGCCAAUCACUACUCUUGCUGAACUUGUAUAAAUAAUCAGGUCAAGUUUAAUGAAACUAAAUUUAUUUUGCAAACAAAUUAGUUUUACUUUGAUUAUCUUUGAUAGAGAUGAAGGUGACUAUAGAGAGAAAAAUUUUGUUUCAGAAGAAAAGUAUAGUGCACCCAGUAUUAGAUGCUAGCUCAUUGUUUUUGAGAGUUUGUUAUCCACCUGAAAUCUGUGCUGGAUCCUGAAUUUCUCUAGUUUCUUCCAAUAUCUGGCUAUGACUCACCAAACGAAUAUUUCCAAUUUUUAUCCCAGUCUUCUGGCUUGGAAUCACUAAAAAUUAAAGCACCCCUUUUUCUGAAGCCCUGCAAGGUGAAAUUAGAUGGCUUGAUACAGACUUCAGAGAAAUCACUACAACAGCUAUGUAGAGAUAACCUUCGGGCCUGCUGCUAUAUGGACUACUCAGAAAGCUCACUGGAACACCUGAAGCAAACUUUUGUAAACAAGGAAAAUCUGUCAGAUCAUCACUGCCUGCCCCUGCUCCAGCUGGAAAGGCUUUAAGUCCAGCAUCUAGAAAUCUUGACUGGCUGCCCUCUAGAAUUAAAAACUGAGUUUAUAGUUUGUUCUAACCAUUACACUUAUUUUUGUUGUUAUUAUUGUUUCCAUAGAAAUGCCUCUUGUUACAUAUCUGAUUGUUUGCACUGCAUUAGUGCCUAACUUUAGUGGAAGCCCAUUUGCAACACCUCUGCCUGAAGUGAGACAACUGCUAACUGUUUAACUCGACUGAGCUUAGGACUGAGAGGUCUGGUUCAAUAGCUAAUGAGAAUCCACCAAACCAAUUUCUGGAUGUGAAACUUCUUGAGGAAGUUUCAGACAGGGGACUAUCGGGGCUCAGAAAAUGAAAUCUCAAAGUAUGGCACUUUGGCAAGCUGAGUACUUUGAUCUAGAAAAUAUCAGAAAGCCUCGGAAGCAUGAUCUCUAUGACCUUUUCCCCGCCCUCCUGUCUCUCACCUCUCUUUCUCCCCUGAAGUGAGGCAUAGAAACCAAAAUUUCUCUUCCCCAAGGCGGGCCAUAGAAACUAGAACCCCUAUCCCCCAAAGCAAGCCAAAAAACCUAGAAAGGUCAUUCUCUCCCUUUGCCCUUCUUCCUUGAAGACCCUCAUUCCAGAGGGGUCCUGUCCCACACCCAGGAGGAAAGAAUGCUACACAGAGAGGCCAAGAAGACUCUGAACAGACAGGCCUUGCUGGGUUUUCCCCUGCAGUCUACUAUCAUUCAAUCGUACCCUUUUUGUCCAACACAUUUCUAUAUGGCUGUCCAUUCUUCAUCAAACAUAAGCAUACAAAUAGAUCAUUUUUCCUGGGUCUUUGGUCUUCAUUUCUGAGGCUCCUAUGUAAUGUAAAACUUUAAAUAAAUUUGUUACGCUUUAACCUGCCUCUUGUUGUAGGAGUGCAGGCCAUGACUCUUAUGAGGGGUAAGGAAGGGCAUUCAUUAUACAUUUCACCCCUACAAGCUUGAGGAAUCAAAAGCAGUUAAGCAGAUCUCAAAACUGACAGAUUAAUUGCCAUUAAUACAUAUUUUUAUUCUUAAAGUUUCUUGUUAAAUUACCCUAGAAGUUAAGAAAAACUUUACAAUUAUCCCAGUCAUGAAUUUGAAUUGAUUUAAAAAAUAAACAAAAAACAAUCAAACCAAAAAAAACACAAAAGACUGGAAAUUGGGAGAAAUUUCCAUUUUAAUCCAUUUAUAAAGAAGCAAUGAAAUGCUGAUAAUAGCAAGAGCGUUCAAUAUAUCAACAAACCACAAAUCAAACGAGAAUAAAAACAAAAUUCAAACUUGAGACAAGCAAGGUGAAGACAGAUUAGAUUUUAAACUGUUUUACAAAUUCUCUCAAAAUAUGUUCAUACUCGUCUCUAGCAGCCAUGUCUUUAAACUCUUCAUAUGAAAAGUGCCUAUUGUACAUUAAUUAGAUGGAAUAUUUACAAUUGCAUGUAUUUGUGAAUAAUAUAUAAAGUAUUUGCAUGUUAUAAAAUACUUCAAAUAUGAUCUGGCCAAGUUGGGAAUCACUUCUAUUUUUUAGUCAAAUGAAUCCGGUUUUCCCACUCAUUUCUGUUAUAAAUCAGAAAUGCAUUCCCAAAGAAAACAAAAAAGAAAGUUUCUGCCCCUCCCCCAAAAUAAUAAUGGUAAGAACGUGGCCAGUUCUGUGGCCUUUCUGGAAUUGUGGGCCCUAGUAUAUUGAGCUCCUCGGAAACUAAAAACAUUUGCAUUUUUAAUGUGGAAAGGUAUCAAUGUGUACCUCUCCUUAUGUGAGUAAAUUUGUAACUUCCCACAUCUGGUUUAUGUAAAAGUAAUACCUAUAAAAAGUCACAAAAGGUAGACAACAAAAUACAUUAAAGACAGACCAUUAACCCUCACACAUAUAGAAUGAAAUAACAGCAUACUAUGAACUCAUAUAAUAACAGUAUUCCAAAACUUUAAACUUCUCCUAAUAUUUGUGGUUCUUCUCCCAUGAGAAUAGUCCUAAAGCCCUUGGCCAGAGAUGUGGGCACCCGGGGAAUGAGACCAAGAGAGAGAAUGAGCUAAAACUAAAUUACACCUUCAGUUUUGCCACUAAUAUUCUCUAGGACUUGGUCAGUGGCUUAUCCUCAGAGCAUCUUAACUUACCCAUGGGCAAAAGGACCUCAAUGCCUUUCCUGCCAAACUCUAAAAGAAAAUGAAAGUCACUCUGAAUCCCUGUUAUAAAGGUCCUAUAAAUAUCUAUAGCUGUUAUUAUUAUAGGAAAACAUGCUUCAGCCCCAGAUACAACUAUUUCAGCUACACACGCAACACAACCAGGGAGAGAAGACAAAAGCUCGCUUUCACUAAGUAACCGUAUGAACUGGAAUAUAGUCAGUGGUCACCCGUGUAAUAUUUUUAUUAUCCAUAGUAGGCUAAAAUAUAAAAUAUAUAAAAGACGCAGCCUAUACAUUAACAAGUAUUCAAGGUAAAAAGGAAGAGGGCAAAAACACACACAAUAAUAAGACAAAAACAUAUAACAAGAAAUGCUGUUGUAUAAAGAGGUAAACAAUAGAUGAAUCUCACAGGCAUAACAAUGAGCAAAAGAGGCCAGAUACAGAGGAAUACAUGCUGUGUGGUUCCAUUUAUAUGAAGUUCAAGAACAGGUGCAACUAGGCCAGGCGCUGUGGCUCAUGCCUGUAAUCCCAGCACUUUGGGAGGCUGAGGCAGGUGGAGCACUUGAGGUCAGGAGUUCGAAACCAGCCUGGCCAACAUGGUGAAACCCUGUCUCUACUAAAAAUUACAAAAAAUUAGCCGGGCGUGGUGAUGCAUGCCUGUAGUUCCAACUACUCGGGAGGUUGAGGCAGAAGGAUCACUUGAAACUGGGAGGUGCAGGUUGCAGUGAGCCGAGAUGGUGUCACUGUACUCUAGCCUGAGUGAUAGAGCAAGACUCCAUCUAAAAAAAAAAAAAAAAAAAAAAAACAGGUUCAACUAAUCUGUGUUACUAGAAGUUAGAGUAGUGGUUUCCUCUUACAGGUGGGUAGAGGAUACUGGACUGAGAAAGGGCAGGAGGUGCUGAAAAUGUUCUAGAUCUUAAUCUGGAUAGUGGUUUCCAAGGCAAAUGCAUAUGUAAAAAGCCAUCAAGGGCACCAUAAAGAUGGAAGCCCUUUAUGUAUGUUAUCCAUACAUUUAAAAAAAAUGAAGAAAGUCUAUAGAUGCCUUAAAUGUGAUUGAACGUAGCUGUGUGGAAUUAUAACGAAUGAAGGUCAGAGAUAUGGUUUGGAUGUUUGUCCUCACCAAAUCUCAUGUUGAAAUGUGAUCUCCAGAGUUGGAGGUAGGGCCUGGUGGGAGGCGAUUGGAUCAUGGGGGUGGAUUCCUGAUGAAUGGUUUGGCACCAUCCCCUUGAUGAUAAGUGAGUUCUCUCUCAGUUAGUUCACGUGAAAUCUGUUGCUUAAGAGAGUCUGGGCUGGGCGCAGUGGCUCAUGCCUGUAAUCCCAGCACUUUGGGAGGCGGAGGAGGGCAGAUCACCAGGUCAGGAGAGAGAGACCAGCCUGACCAACAUGGUGAAACCCCGUCUCUACUAAAAAUACAAAAAUUAGCUGGGCGUGGUGGCAUGUGCCUGUAAUCCCAGCUACUUGGGAGGCUGAGGCAGGAGAAAUUGCUUGAAUCAGGGAGUCAGAGGUUGCAGGGAGCAGAGAUCACAACACUGCACUUCAGCCUGGCGACAGAGGGAGAAUCCAUCUCAAAAAAAAAAAGAGUGUGAGACCUCCCCCUUCACUCUCUCUUACUCCCACUCUCGCCAUGUGACACGCCUGCUCCUCCUUCAUCUUCUGGCAUGAUUGGGAGGUUCCUGAGGCCCUCGCCAGAAGCAGAUGCCAGCACCACGCUUCCUGUACAGCCUGCAGAACCACAAGCCAAAAUUAACCGCUUUUCUUUAUAAAUUACCCAGUCUUGGGUAUCGCUUUAUAGCAACGCAAGAACAGACUAACACAGUCAGAGGGAUUCAGGGCAGCCUGGAGUGGCCAAGGAGGAGGACUGUCCCUCAGAAAUUGUUUAGAAAUGUGGUUUCUGCAUGAUGAGGGACUUGACCUGGCAAAAAAGACACUGCCCAUGAGGAAUACCAAGAGGUUUCUAGAUAGAGAAAGACUGUGUUUCCAAGUUAUCAAAAAUAACUACGACAAACACCAAAGACUCAAAGACGAACGACCUGGCUUUCGGCAGAACAAAUGGCAAGCAUAUUCUGAGACUCAAGAAUUUGGGUGACAUUCGCUAUCCUGAAGCAGUUUCGGGUCAGAAUAUUUAAAGUCUUCUCACAACUGGUGAAAGCUAGACCUCAAACAACUG
rnacentral:lncRNA from 1 species